rnacentral:rRNA from 1 species
GACGAACGCUGGCGGCGUGCCUAAUACAUGCAAGUAGAACGCUGAAGAGAGGAGCUUGCUCUUCUUGGAUGAGUUGCGAACGGGUGAGUAACGCGUAGGUAACCUGCCUGGUAGCGGGGGAUAACUAUUGGAAACGAUAGCUAAUACCGCAUAAAAUGGAUUAUCGCAUGAUAAUCCAUUGAAAGGUGCAAAUGCAUCACUACCAGAUGGACCUGCGUUGUAUUAGCUAGUUGGUGGGGUAACGGCUCACCAAGGCGACGAUACAUAGCCGACCUGGGAGGGUGAUCGGCCACACUGGGACUGAGACACGGCCCAGACUCCUACGGGAGGCAGCAGUAGGGAAUCUUCGGCAAUAGACGGAAGUCUGACCGAGCAACGCCGCGUGAGUGAAGAAGGUUUUCGGAUCGUAAAGCUCUGUUGUAAGAGAAGAACGAGUGUGAGAGUGGAAAGUUCACACUGUGACGGUAUCUUACCAGAAAGGGACGGCUAACUACGUG